rnacentral:misc_RNA from 1 species
UCCGGUUUGGCACCGGCAGUCUCCCUAGAGUUCCCGGCUUUACCCGCUGGCAACUAAGGACAAGGGUUGCGCUCGUUGCGCCACUUAAGGCAACACCUCACGGCACGAACUGACGACAGCCAUGCACCACCUGUGCGGGCUCCGUAGAGCGCCGUGUUUCCACGGCUUCACCCCGCAUGUCAAGCCCAGGUAAGGUUCUUCGCGUUGCAUCGAAUUAAGCCACAUGCUCCGCCGCUUGUGCGGGCCCCCGUCAAUUCCUUUGAGUUUUAGCCUUGCGGCCGUACUCCCCAGGCGGGGUGCUUAAUGCGUUAGCUUCGGCACGGAAAGGGUCAAUACUCCCCACACCUAGCACCCAACGUUUACGGCAUGGACUAC